rnacentral:sRNA from 1 species
AUAUAGGCCAAGGUUGAGGCCUAGUCCAGAAGAGGUCUCAGAGGACCCUGGCUAGAGUUUGCUCAACGAGAGAAUCUUUUUCUCCCCCGUACCCCUGCCAGGAUUUGUGUGAGCUCCACCAUCUGGACAUCUCCUAUAAUCGCCUGCAUUUGGUGCCAAGAAUGGGACCCUCAGGGGCUGCUCUGGGGGUCCUGAUACUGCGAGGCAAUGAGCUUCGGAGCCUGCAUGGCCUAGAGCAGCUGAGGAAUCUGCGGCACCUGGAUUUGGCAUACAACCUGCUGGAAGGACACCGGGAGCUGUCACCACUGUGGCUGCUGGCUGAGCUCCGCAAGCUCUACCUGGAGGGGAACCCUCUUUGGUUCCACCCUGAGCACCGAGCAGCCACUGCCCAGUACUUGUCACCCCGGGCCAGGGAUGCUGAUACUGGCGUGAGUGAUCGUCCUGUGUCCACUCUGCUUCCCCUUUCCUGCCCAGUCCUCCCCGACCUUGCACCCUCUUGCCAUCCCUGGGUGAGGGGCCAAGGACCUGGACCCUGCUUACUGUGUUCUUAAUACCUGGAACUCAGCAGGAUGGGCCUACCACAUACUCCCUCCCCCUUUUUGUCUUUGCUCAGUUCCUUCUCGAUGGCAAGGUCUUGUCGCUGACAGAUUUUCAGGUCGGUGUGGUUGGGGGGCGAGGACUGUUGGGGGAAGACAUGAAGGGAGGGCGCUGGGGAGAGAACAGAGGGCUGGCUGGUGACAGGGUCUUCCUGGUCAGUGGAAAGUAGGGUCC